rnacentral:rRNA from 1 species
ACUCCUACGGGAGGCAGCAGUGGGGAAUAUUGCGCAAUGGGGGAAACCCUGACGCAGCGACGCCGCGUGAGCGAAGAAGGCCUUCGGGUCGUAAAGCUCUGUCAUCGGGGAAGAAGUCUCUUAGGCGAAUAGCAUAAGAGGUGACGGUACCCGAGGAG